UACAGAGGUCUCAAGCGUUGUUCGGAUUCAUUGGGCGUAAAGGGUGCGUAGGUGGCGCCGUAAGUCAGGUGUGAAAUCUCGGGGCUUAACUCCGAAACUGCAUUUGAUACUGCGGUGCUUGAGGACUGGAGAGGAGACUGGAAUUUACGGUGUAGCGGUGAAAUGCGUAGAUAUCGUAAGGAAGACCAGUGGCGAAGGCGGGGCUCUGGACAGUUCCUGACACUGAGGCACGAAGGCCAGGGGAGCAAACGGG
rnacentral:rRNA from 1 species